rnacentral:misc_RNA from 1 species
AAGGGACAUGGGAGACAUUUAAAAAUGUCUUUAUUUUAACCGACAUGAGGCGCGUUCACUGUUAAAAGUAUAGACGACGACAAAAUUGUCGGACAAGACUGUUUUAUUACGAAGUCGCUUGUAUUUUGAAAAGUAUAUCAAUAUGAGGCAAUCAUUGGGCAGAGGACUAGCGUAUACACACUUACUAUAUAAGAUAAUAAAUACCUACAUAUUAUUUUAAUUCAAGAGAAAAAUUAUUUGACAUGUUAAAAUUCUGAAAUAAGUUUAAAAUACAAGACUGAAAAUACUUGUAAUUUCGGUAAAGACAAAUUUGUCUGAUAUUA